AGCUGGUUUUUAUUUUUUUCAAUUUUUAAAAUUAUAGCUGAUUUACAAUGUUCUGUUAAGUUCUCCCGUACAGCAAAGUGACCCAGUUAAACAUAUACAUAUAUAUAUAUUCUUUUUCUCACAUUAUCCUCCAUCAUGUUCCAUCACAAGUGAUUAUAGUUCCUGUGCCUAUUUUUAAUACAUGCCCAGCCACAUGAGGAAUAGAACCUAUGAAAAUGUCUGAUUUCUAUAGCAUGACUAAUUGUGCUUUGUGUACACAACAUGGGCUAGCUACACAGCUUCUCUCUGGUGACAGAAAAUUUGAAUGUGGUUUUUGUCUCUUCUCCACUCUUACUUUCACCUCUAUUUCAGCUAAGAUAUCGUCCCCCUUUCUAAAGCUUAAAUCGGUAAAAUGCCAAUUCUUUCUCCUCUGCUUUCCAUAUUCAUUUAGUCAUCCAAUUCUUUGAAAUCACUUUUAUAUCCUUUCUCACAUGUAUUACUUUCCUGGAAUAUGGCUGUAGUUCAUUAACUAGUAACCUACUCUCCAGUUUUGUACCUAUCUAAUACAUAUUACACAUUGAUGCCAUCAUAUCUCCUCAAAGUUCACUACUGAUAUCAUUUUAUUGUUUGAGAAUUACAGCAGUGCAGAGUGGAGAGCCUUGAGUUCAGACUCCAUUAUGUGUGAUUUGGGGCAUAUUACCUAAGUGCUCACUGUGCCUCAGCUUACAUAACUGAAAAAUAGGAAUAAUAACAGUGCCUCACUUAGAGUUUAUUAGGGUGAAAUGUGUUGGUACGGUUAGAGCUUUCAGAAAGGUUCAUAGCACACACUAAGCAGUUGGUAAGUCUUUCCCAGUAUGAUUUAAAAACUAGCAAUGGGUUCCCAGUGGUUCUAGGCACAUUAAUGCAACAGCCAAGAUUCUCUGAAGUUUGUCCAGAUAUUAUGCUCCCGUAAACACAAUUUAGAGUCUGGAUGAGAGGAAAUACUGACUAAAGGUUAAUUACCUUUUAAGAUGCCAAGUGGCCAGUUGGACAACUGAUGGAAAUAUAUAAUAUAAAUACUUCAUUAGAAGAUAGAUAAGAAAAAGCUUGCUUGCUAGCUUUUUUUUUUUCAUUAUAUGUACGGAAGUGUUUCACUACUGAUUUUAUUAGGAACACAGCACUUAGCACAAUUUCACUGGAACAUCCUCCAAAUGGUUACAUCACAGUUAUUUCAAAUGUUCAGUUGAUUACUUCUCCCACUACACUAUGCAACCUUAAACGUAUAUGGCCUGGCCAUAUAAUAGUCAUAUCAACAGAUCCCCUGCAUAGCCUAAUGCACAACAUAGAACAGGUGUCCUAAGAAAGCCAUCAUCAAACAUUUGAGAAAACAGCCCAUUAGAUCUUAUCUUGCGAGUCAGCCUACCUCUUUUACAAAGCAUCUUCAUGUAUAUUUAUUUUCAAGAUGCAAUAAAGUUGGUGGUGAAACGUACUGAGUAGGGGACUUUUUUUUUUUCUUCAGGAGGCAUUUCUGCAAGAUUUGGGCAUGGGGAUGGCAUAAUGACUAUAAUUUAAGCUACUGCACUGGUCCUUAUGAAGUGUCUGUACAUUUAAGGCUCCAUAUGGUAAUUACGACUUCCUUAGAAUGAGUCAGGGUUGUUUAUGCUUUCAUAAAUCAAGCAGCUGCAGCAGAGCAGACAGACUCCAUAUUAGCACUUCCUCCUAAGACUGUGAAUGUGUUUAAAAAUUUUUUGCAAAUUUCUCAUGAAUUCAAGUUGUUUGUUAGAAGUGAUAGUUUUAUGAGACUGCCACAUGGAAAAUGUCCUUCACUCUCAGAUUUUCCAUUUGUGAUAUAAAUCCACAUUUAGUACCAUUUUUAGAGAGGCAUUAAAGCUGAUAUAAUAACCCCCAGCUGAGUUUGAUAAAAGGAGAGCUUAAUUUACAGGUAAAGUAUGGUUAUAUGAAAUGACAGCUAAAAAGUUAUGAGUAAGACUUAGAAUAAAAUUACACACUAACUGGUUGAUAAUUUAUUUCUUGCAUUCAGUCUUUUGACUUUACAGGGAAAAUGCUGCUAUAGCAAGUACUCAAGUAGUUUCUUUAGCAUUACAGACUGUUUUGAGGUUACACUGAAAUAGGUGGAACUAUAUAUGUUUUAUUAAAAAUACUACAUAUGUGGUGAAUAUUUACAAUAAUUGACACAUAUACUAUCUGGUUGUAUAUAUUUUUUAUUGAUGGGAUUUAAUCACGCUAGCUUUGGUGAAUGAUUUUAUAUUUCAAGCUCAGUUUUAUCAGCCAUAAAAUGGGAGUGUCGAACUCCAGCAUGAUUUUUUUUGACAAGAAAACUUUGAAGAAAGGUAGCUGUAUACAUCAGAAAACAAAAUUUAGGAGAAGAAGAAAGUAUGGUUAAAGAAUUAUACCACUGUACAUAUAUUUUAUUAAAUAGUCAAUUAAAUGACAUAGAACAUAUUAACUAUUUCUUUUUCUCCUCCUCUCAAUCUUCCUUCUCCUUCCUCCUUUUCAUUUUGUUUUUUAGCUAGAAAGGAUGUAAAAUAUCACAGAAUGAGUUUUCCUUAUUUUAUAUGUGAAAAAUUGAAAAGCAUAGAAGCUAAAUGAAAUUUCUGUGGCCAUGUAUUGACAAAUUAUAAAGCUGGAACUUGAAAGCUAUUUCUCUACCAUCAAGGAAGAAAAUGAGAUUAUGGAACUGGAAGAAGGAAACUCUUCUAAAUUCUCUACAACUAAACCAGUGAUGUAGAAGCCAAAUGCUCCAAAUGGCAGAGUUAAAAUACAAGCCACCUGGACCACUGAAUCACCACUUGGAAAGUGGCCGCUCUGCAGCAGCACUGUAUUUGAGACCAAGGCUGAACCCAUAACCUGGAAGAUUAUGAUCCACCUGCCCUCUGGAUGAGAGAAGCAAAGGAAGUUAAUUUGCUUAGAGUGAAAAUAGUGAAACAGACGUCAUAUAAGAGUGCUUCAUCUGAAUCAAAGAAAGAAAACCAGGAACUAUGACUAUUAAUGACACAGUGGAAGAAUUGUCUUGAAAAACCUCUGUUGAGCAAUAUUUCUCUCAACUAUGAAACAGCCCGAGUAAUGCCUGGAUAUGGAAGAAUUUGAAACCUUGCAGGUUGAAUGAGACCCUGUCUUGUGUCAGGCUUAGAGCUCACAAAGUAGCACCACAUACCUCAUCUCAUUUAAUUCUCUUAAUGACAUUGUGAGUUGGAGGGGCAGUAUCGUCAUGAUCUCCAGGAAACUGUGCUUUCAGUGCUGAGAUGGAAGGACUGUUCAGCUAUGAAAACACAUCUGAAUGCUAUCCUCACCU